AGAGUUUGAUCCUGGCUCAGGACGAACGCUGGCGGCGUGCCUAAUACAUGCAAGUAGAACGCUGAAGAGAGGAGCUUGCUCUUCUUGGAUGAGUUGCGAACGGGUGAGUAACGCGUAGGUAACCUGCCUUGUAGCGGGGGAUAACUAUUGGAAACGAUAGCUAAUACCGCAUAACAAUGGAUGACUCAUGUCAUUUAUUUGAAAGGGGCAAAUGCUCCACUACAAGAUGGACCUGCGUUGUAUUAGCUAGUAGGUGAGGUAACGGCUCACCUAGGCGACGAUACAUAGCCGACCUGAGAGGGUGAUCGGCCACACUGGGACUGAGACACGGCCCAGACUCCUACGGGAGGCAGCAGUAGGGAAUCUUCGGCAAUGGGGGCAACCCUGACCGAGCAACGCCGCGUGAGUGAAGAAGGUUUUCGGAUCGUAAAGCUCUGUUGUAAGUCAAGAACGAGUGUGAGAGUGGAAAGUUCACACUGUGACGGUAGCUUACCAGAAAGGGACGGCUAACUACGUGCCAGCAGCCGCGGUAAUACGUAGGUCCCGAGCGUUGUCCGGAUUUAUUGGGCGUAAAGCGAGCGCAGGCGGUUUGAUAAGUCUGAAGUUAAAGGCUGUGGCUCAACCAUAGUUCGCUUUGGAAACUGUCAAACUUGAGUGCAGAAGGGGAGAGUGGAAUUCCAUGUGUAGCGGUGAAAUGCGUAGAUAUAUGGAGGAACACCGGUGGCGAAAGCGGCUCUCUGGUCUGUAACUGACGCUGAGGCUCGAAAGCGUGGGGAGCAAACAGGAUUAGAUACCCUGGUAGUCCACGCCGUAAACGAUGAGUGCUAGGUGUUGGAUCCUUUCCGGGAUUCAGUGCCGCAGCUAACGCAUUAAGCACUCCGCCUGGGGAGUACGACCGCAAGGUUGAAACUCAAAGGAAUUGACGGGGGCCCGCAC
rnacentral:rRNA from 1 species